rnacentral:RNase_P_RNA from 1 species
UUAUCGAGGCCGUCUUAUCGUUCUGCUCUCGCUUAGGUUGAAAGCAGGAAGGAAAGUCCGGACAGCGCAGAGUACCGUACUUCCUAACGGGAAGGCAAAUAGUUGGCGACGGCUAUUUGACAGCAAGUGCAACAGAAAAUAAACUACCGUUUCUGAAUAAGAAAUGGAAAAGGUGAAAAGGUGGAGUAAAAGCCCACCGCUCGGCUGGCGACAGACGGGGCACGGUAAACCUUACGGGCUGAAAGACCAAAUAAGUGUCGAUUUUAGAGCUACUCGUUCUAAUUCUCUUCGGAGGUGUCGGCAUGGGUAGGUUGAUAGAUUUCAACGGCAACGUUGAAGCCAGAUAAAUGAUAAGAUUGUCAAGUUAAAUUGAUAAACAGAAUCCGGCUUAUAGGCCCGAUUACGCU